ACCGCUAAUACCGCAUAACCCGCUAGUAUCGCAUGAUACAGACGGAAAAGAUUUAUCGGUGUGAGAUGGACCCGCGUCUGAUUAGCCAGUUGGCAGGGUAACGGCCUACCAAAGCAACGAUCAGUAGCCGGCCUGAGAGGGUGAACGGCCACAUUGGGACUGAGACACGGCCCAAACUCCUACGGGAGGCAGCAGUGGGGAAUAUUGCACAAUGGGGGAAACCCUGAUGCAGCGACGCCGCGUGAGUGAGGAAGUAUUUCGGUAUGUAAAGCUCUAUCAGCAGGGAAGAAAAUGACGGUACCUGACUAAGAAGCCCCGGCUAACUACGUGCCAGCAGCCGCGGUAAUACGUAGGGGGCAAGCGUUAUCCGGAUUUACUGGGUGUAAAGGGAGCGUAGACGGUUAAUCAAGUCAGAAGUGAAAACCCAGGGCUCAACCUUGGGACUGCUUUUGAAACUGAGUAGCUAGAGUGCAGGAGAGGUAAGCGGAAUUCCUAGUGUAGCGGUGAAAUGCGUAGAUAUUAGGAGGAACACCAGUGGCGAAGGCGGCUUACUGGACUGUAACUGACGUUGAGGCUCGAAAGCGUGGGGAGCAAACAGGAUUAGAUACCCUGGUAGUCCACGCCGUAAACGA
rnacentral:rRNA from 1 species